rnacentral:rRNA from 1 species
GGCUCAGAACGAACGCUGGCGGCGUGCCUAACACAUGCAAGUCGAGCGUGAAAGUUCCUUCGGGAAUGAGUAAAGCGGCAGACGGGUGAGUAAUACAUAGGUAAUCUACCUUCGAGCUUGGGAUAACCCCGCGAAAGUGGGGCUAAUACCGGAUAAGACCACGUGGCGUAAGUUACGCGGUAGAAGGUGGCUUUUUCUUCGGAUUGAGCUAUCACUUGAGGAUGAGCCUAUGGCCUAUCAGCUUGUUGGCGGGGUAAGAGCCCACCAAGGCUAUGACGGGUAGUUGGUCUGAGAGGACGACCAACCACACUGGGACUGAGACACGGCCCAGACUCCUACGGGAGGCAGCAGUGGGGAAUAUUGGGCAAUGGGCGCAAGCCUGACCCAGCGACGCCGCGUGGGUGAUGAAGGCCUUCGGGUUGUAAAGCCCUGUCAUGCGGAAAGAACAGUUUCAUGGCUAAUAUCCAUGAGAUUUGACGGUACCGCAGGAGGAAGCACCGGCUAACUCCGUGCCAGCAGCCGCGGUAAUACGGAGGGUGCAAGCGUUGUUCGGAAUUAUUGGGCGUAAAGGGCGCGUAGGCGGUAAUGAAAGUCAGAUGUGAAAUACUUCGGCUCAACUGAAGAACUGCAUCUGAAACUUCAUAACUAGAGUACGGAAGAGGGAAAUGGAAUUCCCGGUGUAGAGGUGAAAUUCGUAGAUAUCGGGAGGAACACCAGUGGCGAAGGCGAUUUCCUGGUCUGGUACUGACGCUGAGGCGCGAAAGUGUGGGGAGCAAACAGGAUUAGAUACCCUGGUAGUCCACACUGUAAACGGUGAACACUAGGUGUGGGAGGUGUAAUACCUUCUGUGCCGCAGUUAACGCGAUAAGUGUUCCGCCUGGGAAGUACG